CAUUAUGGGUUGGUAGCUGAAGUUCUGAUUAAUUAAGGUAUAUUAAUCCCCCAAAGCUGAACUUAUGAGAGUUAACAGAUACAGACGUUCCAAAACCAUAACUAAUGAUUGGCAGGCAGGUUAAACUUGUUCUGACUAGCUACCUAUUUGUUGAAAUUGUGAGUUUUUUUUUUUAAAUGCUUAGGCAACUUAGCUUUAUUUUAGGUUAGAAGUUGAAAGGAAAGUUCUCUUUCACCCACAUGGAUCCACUAUUUAAACUUAAUUGCUAUGCCCAACAAAACUUACCUGGCCUUUUUUUUUUUUUCAAACCCUACUCCUUCAAUUUGGUAUCUUUUGAACAUCUGCUGACAAAGGAGAAGAAAAACCUGGCUUGAUUUUGCAGGGGCUAUUCUUGUUACUCAGAAGCUGUUCAAGUUUCUUCUGGAAAUGGAGUACUAUCUGACACAACAUCAAGAAGAUUCCAUUUCAACAUCCUUCCCACGUGCGGAUACUUUUGAUGGCAACAUCAAGUUGAAAUGUUUCAAUGACUUCCUUCAUUUUGUGCAUUUUUAUUAUGGCUAUUAUUCAAGUGAUGGGCUUGGAAUGGGAAAAAAAGUGCAACUAUUGUUAGAAUCAACAAAAUCCUCUGUUGAAAUGGAUUGACCUAAAGUUGUGAGAGACUGGAACAUGGGCCUUUUCAAGCUAUUCCCAAACUUUUCACAUUUUUGAGUCUCCGUGCUAAAUUCAGCAAUUGAUUUUCUAGUUUAAAAUAAUGCUGAUAUUAUAAAAUAUCAAAUUAUGACACCUUAUUCAAAGAACCAUUUUGUCCUUCAACAACUUAAGACUGGAAAUCUCCAAUGUAGAACCCAUCGCUAGAUAAAUAUUAAAGUCUGUCAAAGUUAAAACUAGAUAAAUAUUAAAGGCAACGCAUAGUUCAGAUGAGCACAUGUAUCUUCUGGACAAACCCAGGGACUCUCUGUAUGCAAAGAUAACUUUUGAAACUGUUCUAAUACUGAUGCUGAUGCAGCUAUGGCCCAGCCCAUGUAUUUCUCUACAUGUUUCUAAGGCAUUCUUAAAAACCCAAGUGGCCAUCUAGCUACCUUUUAUAACAAUUUGCGCUAUCGAAGAAACCACCCAGGUGGUGAUAACGUUUUACCAAAUAAGUGAAUCAACCCUGCAUCUGUGGAAAAGAUAUUUAAUUGUAAAUAGAAAAGGUAGGCCAAAGACAGUUUUAAGGGCAAUUCUUCUGUAUAGGUAAUCUAAAUGAUUUAUAAAGAUAUACGUUUCAUAAAAGCACUGAAAGAUAAAACACAGCAAAGCACUAAUCAAAAUACAAGGUAUAGGUGGAAAUAAAGGAGAUGCACAGAAGUCUGAACAAAGCGUAAAGCAUUGUAGCACUUGGUAAUCUUUAAGGCAGUAUGGUCUGUGAGUUAUUUGAAAGUCAACACGUGUCUGAAAGUUCGUGGCCCCGUGUUAAGUCAACAUUUGCAGCAGGCAAGAUAGACCCAACUAUAUCAACUGUGACUGAGAAGUAAGGAAAUAACAUUUUUAUACAUAUUCCCUUACGUUUGCCUGAGUGCAAGUACAAAGCUCACACAAGGCAAGGGGUUUAUGUGUGUGUGUGGAGGGGGGGGGGAAUCCAUUUCUUUUCUCUUUGUAUUCAAAUCCCAUUUACAAUUGUAUCUACCUUUCAUUCCUUUCCAUCUGCAGAGCAGAUCUCGGCUAUGAAAUCUUUAUUCUGCCCUGAAGUCCGGUAGGGACUAAGUGCUUACUUACCUAUUUUUUUAAGGAUGUACUAAAGUUUAGGGCCUAAAACAAACUUAUUUCUUUUAACAGUGAACUUUUCAUCUGUAAUGGUAUUUAGGAUUGCCCUCCAAUUCCUUGGUAUAUUAUCACAAUACCGUACAGACCUAAAUCACUCCUUCACAAUUCAAUGUAAUUCAAUCAUGACAGACUUCGAAUUCUGCAUAAAUCUCCAGCAGAUAUAACUGCUGAUCACGCUGGUUAGCAAAUGUGGACGCUGAAUGCCAACAAACCUGGAUGGGGUGGGAGGAGAGAGAUAGACACUUAAACGGAGGGAUUUAAAACACCAUUCGCUGGAAAUGCUAAGAACCGGAAGACCACGCAAAUCAAAACAUAAUCAGAGUUGUCCAAAAUAACAGAGAGCAACAACCAAACGGCCACACAAAGCUGCCUCUAGAGGUCAGUCAUGAUUCGGACAAUCUUAAAUUUUGUGCAGCUAAAACAAGUGAAAAUUAUGUGCAUCUAUCUGUGUAUCAGUUGGAUUGUUGAGACUGAGACGAUGGGCACAAGUAUGAACAAGGAGCGUUUCUUCUGUAAAGCUUUGUUGGAAGAAGAAAGGGCAAAGGUCACAGGAGCGGCGGAAGAGCAGGAACACAAGAGAAGGGGGACUUCACUUAGGUGGCUCUAGAUAAAACGCAUGCAAGGACGUCCGACUUUCCUGUGACUCCUGUCCGUUUUGCAGCCAGCGUGGGAACACUGUGAAAGAGUAAUAGUGCCCAACUUUCUUACGUUUUAGGCUAUGGAUAUACAACAGCCACAAUCUUCAAAAGGAGGAGUGCGAAGAGUCACUUAGAAAGCUUGUUGCCCAAUUCCCUCUCUCCGGUCUCAUGACCUUCAGACUUGAAGGAUGUCCCCUCGGAGAAGUGUGGUGAGAUGCCAUUUCCAGAUCUAUGUCUUCAAGUUAUCUCCUUCCACGCUCUUUUUGACCAGUACUAGCAGGCGAUAAAACCUUUUGUUGGUCAGGUAUCCUGUACUAUUUCAGGAGGUCUGAUCAUCAGCACCUGCUGUCGUUGGUCAGUCAGAUUAAAGGAAUUGUGAGAGAUGGACACUUAAUGGUGCCAUUUACCUACAAAUUUCUUGAAGGGCAGUCUGGACUCCAAUUCCAGAUAUCAGCCUAUUAUCUUUACGGCAUCUUAUGUUCGCAUUGGGGGGGGAGGGAUGCUGUGAUGUGAAUGUUAACAUCCUGUCCAGCAGGUAGUAGCAUAGUAGGGGAAAGAUUAAGCCUAAAAGUUUUGGGAAAAGAACUUGAAAUGUGUUCUCCAUCUGCAGAAUUAUCCCAGCCCAGCUUGGGCUGGUCACCUUGAAAAUAUGAUUGGCUGCGCUAAGGGUAAUAUUUUCAUAUAGUUAAUAUAUUACAUAAAUACUGGUUUUUGUUUUCUUUUUUCUUCUCCCAAGUUACAUCCCUCUAAGAAAUGUGGUUCCCAAUAUAAAAAAAAA